CUUGAUGGAGCCGAGCCACAGCGGAUGUCCCUCGGGCCGUUCCUGUCCGUACGUGGCGAGCAGCGCCUGUGCCUC
rnacentral:antisense_RNA from 1 species